rnacentral:tRNA from 1 species
CUCGUGAUAGCUCAGUUGGUAGAGCGACGGAUUGUAGAGGUCAAGUAUUCAAAACUCCGUUGGCNGGGUGUUCGAAUCACCCUCGCGAGA